rfam:Salmo salar isolate Sally breed double haploid chromosome ssa01, whole genome shotgun sequence.
UAGCUCAGUUGGUAGAGCAUGGUGCUUGCAACACCAAAGGUUGUGGGUUAGAUGCCCAC